CCACGAUGAGAUACCAUCUCACACCAGUCAGAAUGGCUGUUUUCAAAAAGUCCAAAAAUAACCAGUGCUGCCAAGAUUGUAGAGAAAAGGAAUGCUUAUACAAUGUUGGUAGGCAGGUUAAAUUAGUUAAACUAUUGUGGACAAUAGUGUAGUGAUUCCUCAAAGACCUAAAAACAGAGCUACCAUUUGACCUAAAAACAGACCUACCAUUUGACCAAGCAAUCCCGUUACUAGGUAAAACCCAAAGGAAUAUAAAUCAUUUUAUAAUAAAGACACAUGCAUGGGUAUGUUCAUUGCAGCACUAUUCACAAUAGCAAAGACAUAGAAACAACCUAAAUGCCCAUCAGGGUAGGCUGGAUAAAUAAAAUGUGAUACGUAUACACCAUGGAAUUCUAUGUAGCCAGAAAAAACAACAAGAUCAUUUUCUUUGCAGAAACAUGAAUGGAGCUGGAAGACAAUCCUUAGCAAACUAACACAGGAACAGAAAACCAAAUACUGCACUUUCUAACUUAUAAGAGGGAGCUGAAUGAUGAGAACUCAUUGGCACAUAGAAGGGGACAACAGAUACUGAGGCCUACUGGAAGAUGUUCUUCCAGGCAAUGGAAAGAGAUAUGUGAACAGAAGAGAAAAGUCCAUGCCCUCAUGGGAGUUACAUCUCAGCUAAAGCUCUCACUCACGGUCUGAAUUACCAGGUUCACUUAUUUUUGUGUUUGUUGCCUGUCUCCCUUCUCUGGACUUCCAAAUUGCAGGCAUCUUGGCAAUUUUUUUCUCACUGUGUACAGUACUUAGUUUCUGGAAAAGUAUCCCUAACAUAAUAUUGGCCCAAUAAAUAUUUUU
rnacentral:lncRNA from 1 species